rfam:Brachypodium distachyon strain Bd21 chromosome 5, whole genome shotgun sequence.
CUUGUACUCCCUCCGUCCAACAAAUGAUGUCUCAACUUUGAUUAAAUUUGAUGCAUCUAUACACUAAGUUAUGUCUAGAUACAUUCAAAUUUUGACAAACUUGAGACAUUUUUUGUUGGACGGAGAGAGUAUGAA